GGUGUGAAGGUCACGGAUAAGGGUAGAAGGCUAGUGUAGGUGUAUGGGGUGUAGCAAGUGGUUAGGUGAGACCUUAUGUUGCCGGGCUAGUAAUCUUAGGAAUCUUAGUAUUCUUAGGUGUCUUUGGUAUGUGUGGGUAUGUUACAAAUAGGUAGGUGUCCUUCAUAUUUUUUGCAUACUUCUUAUUUUUUCUCUCUUUCGUGUUACCCUUAUUUAUCGUAUGUCGUAUUUUCUCCGUUUUCUAGUGAUUAUUUCUUAUCAUGGAUUUUCUGUUGUGUCAUUCUUCCCCUUGUUACUGUUCUGUAUCUCAAGCCGGGAGUCUAUCGGAAACAGCCUCUCUACUUCUUCGAAGGUAGUGGUAUGAUUUGCGCACAUCUUAUCCUCCCCAAAUCCUAUUUUACGGGAAUACACUAGGUUUGUUAUUGUUGUUGUAAUCUUGAAAAAUACACAGCUACGCCUAGUUCCCUUGUGUCUGCAAGUAAAAUAACUCAAACAAGGGGAUGAGAAUAAAGUCAAAGGUAAAGGUAUAUUUUCCCUUUAUAAAGAGAGUAACGUGUAUUGGGAAUAGGAAAAGAGAAGAAUUCAAUCAAUCAAAUUUUUUUUUUUAGGAGACAAAGUGCCGUGAUAAGUCUUCUUUUUCUAUCUUAAUUCGACUUACAUAAUCAAUCAUUCUGUUUGAAGAACAUUGAAAAGUAUAGUCUCUUCUCCACCAACUUAACUUACAUUUUGGGUGUGUUUGGUAUGAUUUAAAAUGUUUUUCAGAAAACAUUUUUCCAUUUUCUCAUGUUUGAUUAUUAAAAAAUUUUGAAAAAAUAUUUUCCAAGAUGGCUUAUUUUUCUUCAUUUGAGGGAAAAUGACUUCCCUAAUAAGUGAAGGGAAGUCAUUUUCCAGAGAAAACAUUUGAGAUCUUACUCGUAUACACUCCUCUUCUUCACCCCAACAAAAUCGAUAGCGCACCUACAAGCAGAUCGUCGUCGUCUUCAAUUUAGGGCUUUCUCUCCUCUCUCUCCCUUCUCCCCACUACAAUAAUUUCAAAGGCACAUCCCACUCAUGACAACUUCAUCAAUAAAAACAUUAAAACGUUUGGCGAAAUGUCUCUUGUGUGUGAAAAUGAUCGAGUUAGGGGAGAUUGUGCUAAAUCAUUUGAAGUUAUAGAUUUUGAUAGUUUUUCUGAGAAAUAUAAUGAUAGUGACCUUGAAGGACUAUCCAUCGAAAAGGAUGUGCAAGUAACCGAAACUUCUCAUAUCAAGGCAAGUGGCAAAAGAAAGCAUUCUUUUGAGGUGCAAGGUGUCGUAGGUGAUAUAUCUGGAUAUUUAUAGAAAUUAGUUUAGGUGUACACGCCUUACGCGUGUACCUUACUUUAGUGAGUUUAAAUAUUACACAAAAAAUGAUAUUAGUUUAAAUAAUAAAGAUGAAUCCAAUAAUUAAAUUUAAUAUCUUUUGAAUAUGUUAAGAUGGAGAAUAUAUUUAAUUAAUCAUAUAGUUGUUGUAAAUAUCUAAGAUACAAAUGAGGUAGGUGAAAUAUAUUGGUAACCCCUUAAAUUA